UUUCCUAUUCUUGUGUCCCUGCAUCACACUUCAGGGUUGAAUCUCUAUCAAGGCUAGAAGUUUCUGUCUGCUCUCUUGGAUAACAUCUGGCCUAAGUAUUGUCCUUUAUAAAGCUGUAAUAAUAACAUUAACCACAUGGGAGAAGGAUGCUAAUGUUCAAUACUCCCGUGAAUCUAACAGAGAAGGAAAUAGGACUGUCCCAGGGGAUAAUGGAGUUGAUAUCUCUCUGGCAAACUAAGUCAGGCAUUUCCCAGACACUAGCUUCUCCAUAAUUUCCUUGUACUACUCAAAUUCUGCACACUUUGACAGCAAAAUCACAGUUAGAUAACGAGUAUUUACAGUUUGUGUUUGUAUUCUGAGUGAUUAUUCAAAACCUGAACUUUUCUCCCCCCAUGCUAGUGUGUUUCACCUUAAUCUCAUAUAGUAGUGAUGUUCUAAUGGAGGUGACUUAAUUGGAGCUAUUCUCAAACAAAAGCUUUGGGGAAAAGCACACCAAAUGAACCCCAAAGCUGAUGUAUUCCCCUAGCAAGAAAUUCUAAGACAAGGGCACAGACUUGGGUUACCUGACAAGAUGAUAAUAACAUCAUAAUAUGUUUUACUCAAAGACACACCCUGUAGGUUGCAUGGGUACAGAAAGGUGGCAUGAGAUUACAAAGACAGAGACAUGGGUGCCAAAAGAGAACUGAAGCCCUAAAUAAGGAGAAGAGGAGAGGCUAGGAGGCUGGGUUUCUUAGAUACUGCUGUAACACU
rnacentral:lncRNA from 1 species